GCCAGGAUAGUUCAAAUGGUUAGAACAUUAAUUUCAUGCGUUAAGAAUGGGAAUUCGAAUUUCCCUCCCGGCU
rnacentral:tRNA from 1 species